rnacentral:rRNA from 1 species
UACGGGGGGGGUAAGCGUUGUUCGGAAUUACUGGGCGUAAAGGGCUCGUAGGUGGCCAACUAAGUCAGACGUGAAAUCCCUCGGCUUAACCGGGGAACUGCGUCUGAUACUGGAUGGCUUGAGUUUGGGAGAGGGAUGCGGAAUUCCAGGUGUAGCGGUGAAAUGCGUAGAUAUCUGGAGGAACACCGGUGGCGAAGGCGGCGUCCUGGACCAACACUGACACUGAGGAGCGAAAGCCAGGGGAGCAAACGGG